AACGCCGCCGGGCCUACAGCUCCUGGAUGGGAAGUUUUAAAACAAGGAUAAAUAAAAACCAUUCCGUCGAUCUGCAAUCGUCCAGCUCUAGCUAGCUAGCUAGUAGAUGCUGCCAGCAAACGCCUUCUCCUACGGCUGUAGGCGUGCAGUGGCUGCGCCCAAUGCGACUCUGCUGCGCACAGCUACAGUACACGGGCAUGGCACAGUGCACGAAGUACGACCCACUGACGAAAAGGCACUCACCAGACCACCCCAGUAGUACACAUGGUCCGUGCCAGUGCCAUGCCAUUAUUCACAGGCACGCGGAAGUCCGGUACGCUACUCCGGCCGGCGAUACGCUACAGUACCAUACCACUCUCUUUCUCUGGCUGACAACCACAUUCGGUCGCAGAGACGGGCAUACAUUCGCCUUUUGUGUGUCAAGUGUUGAGUAGUACUAAUGUUGGGAGGAUCACGGCUAAACUCCAAGCUUCUCAUUCAGCCUCAACGUGGCAUGCAUGCUAUACUAUACAGCGAGAAAACACAAAACCUAGGAGGUGAUGGAGAUGGAGAUCGAGCGGGAGACAUGACCUCACAAAAUGCGGCUACGAAACAACGGCCAGAACCGCGUUUAAUUAAUCCUGUCAUGUCAUCCAUGACAAAGCCAUACCAGGACGGACGACGGGGUGCUAGUGGUAGAAACAAAAAUUCCAAGCGAAGUGAGGGCGCUAAAAACUGUUACCUCUCCUCAUUGUACGAGUUGGA
rnacentral:misc_RNA from 1 species